rnacentral:rRNA from 1 species
AUUGAACGCUGGCGGAAUGCUUUACACAUGCAAGUCGAGCGGCAGCACGGGGGCAACCCUGGUGGCGAGCGGCGAACGGGUGAGUAAUACAUCGGAACAUGCCCAGUCGUGGGGGAUAACACUUCGAAAGAAGUGCUAAUACCGCAUACGUCCUGAGGGAGAAAGCGGGGGAUCUUCGGACCUCGCUCGAUUGGAGUGGCCGAUGUCAGAUUAGCUAGUUGGUGGGGUAAAGGCCUACCAAGGCAACGAUCUGUAGCUGGUCUGAGAGGAUGAUCAGCCACACUGGGACUGAGACACGGCCCAGACUCCUACGGGAGGCAGCAGUGGGGAAUUUUGGACAAUGGGCGCAAGCCUGAUCCAGCCAUGCCGCGUGUGUGAAGAAGGCCUUCGGGUUGUAAAGCACUUUCAGCGAGGAGGAAGGGGUGAGCGUUAAUAGUACUCAUCUUUGACGUUACUCGCAGAAGAAGCACCGGCUAACUCUGUGCCAGCAGCCGCGGUAACAC